AAAUAAAUAACUAAUUUUAAGUGUGUUAUUUACAAUAACAAAAUAGUUUUUAACUUUUAUUUA
rnacentral:tRNA from 1 species